rnacentral:rRNA from 1 species
AGCGAACGCUAGCGGGUGGCUUAACACAUGCAAGUCGAGCGCCGAUUUCGGUCGGAGCGGCGAACGGGUGAGUAACACGUAGGGUAUCUGCCCUUUGGUGAGGGAUAACUCGGGGAAACCCAAGCUAAUACCACAUAUGGCCUACGGGUCAAAGGCUUCGGCCGCCAGAGGAUGAACCUGCGGCCCAUUAUUUAAUCCUUGUUGGUGGGGUAACGGCCUACCAAGGGUACGAUGGGUAGCUGGUCUGAGAGGACGAUCAGCCACACUGGGACUGAGACACGGCCCAGACUCCUACGGGAGGCAGCAGUGGGGAAUAUUGCGCAAUGGGGGAAACCCGUGACGCAGCCAACCCGCGUGAGUGAUGAAGGCCUCGGUUG